AACCCAUGAUGUGGGCAUUCUCUCUGGUAUUUCCUUAUACCUUUCCCAAGCUUCAUGAAAAGGUUCAUCAGACUUCUGCUUGAAGUUGGAGAUUCUGUGCCGUAGAGC
rfam:Brassica napus, WGS project CCCW01000000 data, contig: 23189